rnacentral:rRNA from 1 species
CUUUAAUGGAGAGUUUGAUCCUGGCUCAGGACGAACGCUGGCGGCGUGCCUAAUACAUGCAAGUCGAGCGGAGUUAUUCCUUCGGGGAUAACUUAGCGGCGGACGGGUGAGUAACACGUAGGCAACCUGCCUGUAAGACUGGGAUAACUACCGGAAACGGUAGCUAAGACCGGAUACACGAUUUGAUCGCAUGAUCG